AUAAUUUGAACUGCGACUGUUCAACCAACUUAGGAUUCAAAACUCAAGAUGUCGCCAGUGUCGCCUUUGUUGUUGUUAGCUUGUUACAAACGAGGCGAAGCCGAAAAGGGCGAAACCAAACUGUAGCUAAUUUAUACUUAUAUUCCUGUGAUUUCAAUUACCAAAUUGAAUUUCGUAUCAUAUUCUUCUAGAUGCAUACUGUCAGUGUCAGUCAUUCCCACAAGUUGACUUAGCGCUCAGUCAAUUUCCAUCCAUUAGGCCCAUCAUGCUGUCAAAAGCCUAAAAAUCAUGUUUGAAGAUCACAUGUAGUGGAAUACAAAUCUGCCGAGAUAAGGUAUCCUGAACCAUAAGACUUUUCUGAAUCUUGCAAUUUUUGUGACGCACCCUGCAACACCAUGUUUGUUGUUAUGGAUGCUACUGCAAUACUUCAUGACACUUUCUUUGACAUCAGGAAAUUUACAUCAACCUAAGGAGUAAUGCUGUUUGUUGCUGUGAAUUGAAUUUUUACAGUUUUUUCAUCGUGAGCAUUUCAGUGUGCUUCUUAAAAAAAGAGCACAGAGAUUCUUUUGCCAAUGCUGACCUUUGUCCAUGACGGAAGAAGGAUUUUCAACAACAUUCUUCUCCAUCCUUAUCUUCGCGACGCACGCUCAUCUAGCUUCACUGCUUUUAAGCAAGAUUUGUUUUACUUCACUGACGACUUGGCGAGUUUCUGGACCACUUGAAGAUCGCUUCCGUCAGCUGUUACACACCUGCAGUCACUCACCACGGGAUUAUGCCUAGAUGAUGCAGAGGAGACGUCGAGAAGAUUGACACCAAAACAUCACCGGUAUCUCCAAAGUGUCAGCGCGGAUCAUUAUUUGUUGUUGGUAAUAUGUGUUAGUGUUAGUUAACUUGUUGGUUGCCACGCCUUUGUUCUCCCCUGCUCCUUAGCACGGGCUGCGUGCGCUGUUCGGCCUCGUGGUUUUCAUGCCGAGGGGUCGGAAAGUCGCACCAGCCCAAAACUUGCCGCAAGGCGCCUAUUAGGCAAUGCACCAUACCUAGUUCCCCUUUGUCGAUGCGGUGAUGGAUUCUUCUGUCACCGUGUCAGCCCGGACUUGUCAGCAAUGACAAGUUCCACCUUGGUCAUAGAUCCUUCAGACGUGGCGCGUAGAGUAGUAGAGAGCAACCUACGGGUUGUAUGGCGUGGCAGCCAACGGGUUAAC